AAAAGAAAGGAAGUGUAAGGAAAAACCAAAAUUCUACUACGCUAAAAAGUAUAUACAUAUACUCUUCUAUCUUCAAGAAGGACGUGCGUGACCUUGAAAGAAUAUUUUUUUAAAUCUUGGCAUUUCAUGCCCACUUUAUUUAAAUUUAUGAAAUCCCUUUCCAACACAGCAGUUGUCAAAGGAGUGUUAAACAUAAAAGUUAUUAAAAAAAAAAAAAAGACAAAAUGGUAAAUUUCAAAUUCCAACGUUAAGGUACUGUUACAAAAUAUUUUUCCUCUGCAGAAUACUUACGGGUGGUUUAGGAAAACACCUAAGACAAAUUAGGAGAGACAAUAUAGUGAUUCAAGCAUGUGUGGUCCAAAUUUAAACUAUAAUUGAAUAUAAAAAUAUUCCUGUUAAGAUGAUUAAAAUUGGCCUUGAAAGACAGUAUCAAACCUCAGGACAAAAUUAUGCCAUAGUAUAGUUUGAGACAUUUAAUCAGGUAGAAAAGCAAGAAGAAUUUAAAACAAGGGAGAGUUGUUAACUUCAACAGAGUUUUAUCAAAUACUUACUAUGCACCUAAAUAAUUGAAGGUACCAAUAUAAAUAUUAUUGUCCCUGUCCUCAAAUGGAUUUAACAACUCUAUAUUUCUAAACACCAGCCAUUCACGUAUAAUCUUUAUGUUUUCUCUCAUAUCUGAGUACCAAUUUGUAAGAUUAGUUAUUAAAUAGUUUUCUUUAAAUCAACUUAACUUUUUUCUGAAAUACAUACUUUAUUAGAAAGCAAAAAUAUACAUGAAGGCUCAUGUCUAUUUUUCUUCUGUUAUCUUUGCAAAAAUGACACAUCCUAUAUCCUCUCACUCUGUUUCCAUUUUUCACGGCAUUUAAUCCUUGUGGCAGGCACAUGCAGCUCUCUUUUGCCACUGGGAUUAACUACCAAGAGUCACACUUUCUCACUCCACUGAAAGUAGGCAUGGCCACGUGAUUUGCAAAGGCCAAUAAAACAUGAAGCAGCAAGUGACACAUGUAAAAGCUUUUAGCUGCUGCUGUUUGAUUCUUCUCUCGUGGAAGCGCGUGCUGACAUGAAGGAGCCACAAGAAGGGAGCAUCUUGGAAAGCUGAGGGCGGCUAAUUUGGAUAGCUGCCCGGACUAGCCACUGUGGACUUCUCAUAAGCAAGAAAUAAACCUUUGUUACAGUGCACUAGUAAAAUCUGGUGAUUGUUCCCACAGAUUAUCCCAGGCUACCUGUUUAAUAUAGCAUUACUUACAGUUUGGUUAUGCAUUUUCUUACUUGGGUAUUCUUCCCAUUAAUAUCUAAGCUCCACAGGACAACAAAUUUAUGUAACACAUUAUAUUCUGACACACAGAACAGUCCUUGGGAUUUAAUACACACUUAGUAAAUAUGUCUUAAAUAAAUAAAUGGAGUAGUUACCCCUUAUUCACAGGGGAUAUGUUCCAAGACUCCUGAAAGCUUGGAUAGUACCGAAUCCUAAUAUAAUGUUUUUUCCUAUAUAUACAUAUGUAUGACAGAUUUAUUUAUAAACUAGGAACAAUAGGAGAAUAACAACAAUAAUCAUACAAAUGGCAAUUAUAACAAUAUACUGUAGUAAAAGUUAUAUGAUUGUGGUCUGUCUCUCAGUCUCUCAGAAUAUCAUACUGUACCACUGGUACCUGAAACCUGAAGCCAUGGAAACAAAGCUGUGAAGGAGAUGGGGGGGGCAGGAAACUACUGUAAAUGGUUUCUCUACAAUCAUCUCAUUUAUGUACCAGUGGUUAACGGACACUAUUUUGUCAAAAAAUAAAAGGGUAAAUGAGGCUUCUACAUGUUAAGUUUUCUGAGAGGAGAACUGUUAAAGCACUAGGUAUUCUGAAAAGGUAAAGGUUUUUGUACACUGACUGUUGGAAAUGGGUACUGGAGUUGAUGAGCCAAAAAAAAGGGGAAAAGAGUGUGAUGAACUGAAUGCUUGUAGCCUCCCCAAACUCCUGUGUUGGAAUUCUAACCCCCAGUGUGGUGGUAUUAGGAGGUGGGAGCCUGGGGAGAUAAUUCGGUCAGUAGAGCAGAGGCUUCAAUGGGAUUAGUGUCUUUAUAAGAGAAGACAUUGAAGAGACAAUCUUUCUUUCCCUUCUGUCAUGUGAGGAUACAAUGAGAAGACCUGCCAUCUGCAAACCCAGAAGCAAGCCCUCAUCAGAUACCAGGUCUGCUGCCACCAUGAUGUGGGACUGCUCAGCCUCUAGAACUGAGUCCUGAUGUUUCUCUUCUUCUGGUGUGGAUGCUGGAACUCCUUUCUGAAGUAAGAGGCAAAUAUCUCUCAGCAGAGAGUGCCAAGACCAAUCACUUAACCAUGGCAAUCUUCCUCAGUGUUUAAUACUCACCCUGAUGGUCCCAAGAUGGCUAUAGCAGUUUCAGCCACGGUAUCCUAACCCACCCACAUCUGGACGUAUCUACCUUUUCCAUCUCUAUCUAUUAAAAAUGUAGGAUACUUUUACCAGAAGGUUCUCCUCUAGGCUACUACUCAUGUUUCACUUGACAAAAUUGGUCACAUGGAAUUUCUUAAGUCAUAUACUGAUGAGGGAGAUGGAAUUAUCAUGAUUGGAUUAGACUACCCAUGAUUCACCACUCCUCAGCUUGGGAGAAAGAUCAUUUUCUCAGAGCAAAUGUCUGCAUAUGGCUGAAGAAUGGCAUGAACUAUAAAUUUAAAAAAUUGGAGUCCUCCAGGAAAGAAAGGGAGAAUUAAACAGAAAUGACUGGGUAGGUAAAACGCAAUAGUCUCCAAUGCCAAAUAAACUUUGUCUUGUUGCUCUC